CAGUCGCCGCGGGAAUACGAAGGGGGCUAGCGUUGUUCGGAUUUACUGGGCGUAAAGCGCACGUAGGCGGACUUUUAAGUCAGGGGUGAAAUCCCGGGGCUCAACCCCGGAACUGCCUUUGAUACUGGAAGUCUUGAGUAUGGUAGAGGUGAGUGGAAUUCCGAGUGUAGAGGUGAAAUUCGUAGAUAUUCGGAGGAACACCAGUGGCGAAGGCGGCUCACUGGACCAUUACUGACGCUGAGCUGCGAAAGCGUGGGGAGCAAACAGGAUUAGAUACCCCAGUAGUCCCUGUCUCUUAUAC
rnacentral:rRNA from 1 species